rnacentral:rRNA from 1 species
AACGAACGCUGGCGGCGUGUUUAAGACAUGCAAGUCGAACGGGUUGAAGUUGUAGCAAUACCGCUUCAACCAGUGGCGCACGGGUGCGUAACACGUGAGUUACAUGCCCUGCAGUGGGGAAUAGCCCGCCGAAAGGCGGAUUAAUACCCCAAGGUCCCGCAAGGGUAACGGUGGCGAAAGCUGCCGCUGCAGGAAUGGCUCCCGGCCUAUCAGCUAGUUGGCGGGGUAACGGCCCACCAAGGCGACGACGGGUACCUGGUCUGAGAGGAUGAUCAGGCACACUGGAACUGAGACACGGUCCAGACACCUACGGGUGGCAGCAGUCGAGAAUAAUUCACAAUGGGCGAAAGCCUGAUGGUGCAACGCCGCGUGGAGGAUGAAGGUCUUCGGAUUGUAACCUCCUGUCAUCGGGGAGUAAGACCUGGGCGUGAAUAGCGCACAGGGUUGAUAGUACCAGAAGAAUAAGCACCGGCUAACUACGUGCCAGCCGCCGCAGUAAUAC